rnacentral:rRNA from 1 species
UACAGAGGGGGCGAGCGUUAUUCGGAAUCAUUGGGCGUAAAGGGCGCGUAGGUGGCCCGGUCAGUCCGUGGUGAAAGCGCGGGGCUCAACCCCGCGUCGGCCAUGGAUACUGCUGGGCUGGAGCACUGUAGAGGCAGGCGGAAUUCCGGGUGUAGCGGUGGAAUGCGUAGAGAUCCGGAAGAACACCGGUGGCGAAGGCGGCCUGCUGGGCAGCUGCUGACACUGAGGCGCGACAGCGUGGGGAGCAAACAGG